GCCGUGGUGGCUGUUGGUUGCCAAUUCGGACUUUCAAUCCGGGCCGCGCGAGUUCGAUCCUCGUCCACGGUGCCA
rnacentral:tRNA from 1 species